rnacentral:rRNA from 1 species
GACAGAGGAUGCAAGCGUUAUCCGGAAUGAUUGGGUUUAAAGGGUGCGUAGGUGGCUAAUUAAGUCAGUGGUGAAAUACAGCCGCUCAACGGUUGAGGUGCCAUUGAUACUGAUUAGCUUGAAAUAAUUGGAGGCUGCCGGAAUGGAUGGUGUAGCGGUGAAAUGCAUAGAUAUCAUCCAGAACACCGAUUGCGAAGGCAGGUGGCUACGAUUUAUUUGACACUGAGGCACGAAAGCAUGGGGAGCAAACAGG